AUUGAACGCUGGCGGCAGGCCUAACACAUGCAAGUCGAACGAGUGGCGGACGGGUGAGUAAUGUCUGGGAAACUGCCCGAUGGAGGGGGAUAACUACUGGAAACGGUAGCUAAUACCGCAUACCAUCGGAUGUGCCCAAGUGGGAUUAGCUAGUUGGUGGGGUAACGGCUCACCUAGGCGACGAUCCCUAGCUGGUCUGAGAGGAUGACCAGCCACACUGGAACUGAGACACGGUCCAGACUCCUACGGGAGGCAGCAGUGGGGAAUAUUGCGCAAUGGGGGCAACCCUGACGCAGCCAUGCCGCGUGUAUGAAGAAGGCCUUCGGGUUGUAAAGUUCUUUCAGCGAGGAGGCGUUAAUCGCAGAAGAAGCACCGGCUAACUCCGUGCCAGCAGCCGCGGUAAUAC
rnacentral:rRNA from 1 species